rnacentral:rRNA from 1 species
GUGUCAGCAGCCGCGGUAAUACGAAGGGGGCUAGCGUUGCUCGGAAUCACUGGGCGUAAAGGGUGCGUAGGCGGGUUCUUAAGUCAGAGGUGAAAGCCUGGAGCUCAACUCCAGAACUGCCUUUGAUACUGGGAAUCUUGAGUUCGGGAGAGGUGAGUGGAACUGCGAGUGUAGAGGUGAAAUUCGUAGAUAUUCGCAAGAACACCAGUGGCGAAGGCGGCUCACUGGCCCGAUACUGACGCUGAGGCACGAAAGCGUGGGGAGCAAACAGGAUUAGAAACCCUUGUAGUCC